UCGUAGCCUGCGCGAUGACCC
rnacentral:siRNA from 1 species